GGCCAACAAAAUGCCUGACUUUCUAUAGCAAUUCCCAUAAACCUUCAUAAUCACUUAACUGCAGUCAUCCUAGAGCACAUGCUUAGAAACACACCUGGAUCCAUCUGCCUGGGAGUUCUUCGGAGUCCAUUGGUUCGUUUCUGUGCAGAAAGACCAUUUCUGACCUUUUGACAGAGGUAAGAGACAAUGCUGUCUCUUUCACUUCACAAUGCUGAGGAAGGUGCAGAAGCAGGCUGACCCCGUCAGUAUUGGGAAGGACUGUUCCGACGAUGGAAGGAAGGAACUGACAUGGAAAGAUGCUGCAGCACCAGGCAGGCAAAGCACAACGCAGUUUGCUCCAUUGCCAUCCUAGCAUGUUAAUUAUGCUGCUGACUCUUUCAAAGGAUAAAGAAAAUGUAAAAUCAAACAGGAUGUUUCUGAAGGACAUCUUCACUUACUUCUAAGGAUCCAAAAAGGAACACCAACAACAAAAGGAUUUCUAAAUCACAAUCAAAUUUUAUUCCAAAUCACAUAAUCUUUUGCCUAGGAAAAUGAAUAAAGACUUUUUAAAAACACAAAUAAAAAUAAGAUAAUGCAAAGCCUUGAAAAACAGUAUUUUAUCUAUUAUAUAUCCUAAUUAUUUUAUUCAUCUUUGAUUUUAUGGUAAUUUUAAACAUACAUUCAUCAUUGCUUUUCAGUGACAAUGCAAGGAAAGUAUUGAAUGAGAGGCAAAAUCAGUUAAAUCUAUAAUCCAUUGCAGUGGCAAAGUCAAACUAUGCAUAAUUUGAGUCCACAUUUGUUACAAACUUGAUGUGUGGCUUUUGGCAUGUAACACUGUCCUUCUAUUUUUAGUUUCUGCAUCAAAAAAGUAAAUAUUUCAUUCCUGCUGUAAAAGGCCAACAUCCAAGAGUGGGAAAGGAAUAAGUCCCAUUUAUUGGUAUCUGGUUUAUCCAAAAUAUAUAUGGACACUUUACUAGAUAUCUUUUAUUGACAAAACAGUGAAAACCACUACAUAAAUGCUAGAAGAGAUUUCUAUUAUUCUUGCCAUCAUAAAUGACAAACAUUUAGUAGAAAAGUUAGAGACCUCUUAAGUGUAUAGUACUAUAAAUGAUGACCUUCCCAUCACUAUACUUUGAAUCAUGGGAAAUAAAGGUUUUUUGAACAAACACUUAAUAAGCAUAUUAAAUCUUCUCUUUGAUUAUGAUACACUUUAGUAGCACAUUCAGCAAAGUAAGUAUCUAUUAAUGGGCCAGGCAUUGUCUAACACUGGAAAUACAAUGGUGUACUUGUCAUGGAUAUCCACAGUGUGGACUAUAUUAUUUCAACUCUUACAGCAAAAUACAUUGUUCAUUCUUUUGUCAUUUAGUUAGAAGGCAGGGUAUUUUCACAGUUUAAACUGCAACAUAUUUCAAAGAAAGAAUUCUAGAGAAUUCGGAUUUUCUCAUUCUCUGACCCAACAUGAUUUAUAAGUAAUAUAAUUCAAAUGCUGAAUACAAUAUGAAUUAGGAAAUGCUGAGUAGACACAAUAAAUUUAAGUUGGCAUAGCACAUUUUAAAUUUUACUGAUAACAGAAAGUUUGCUGUUGAAUUAGCAAGUUUAAGAAGCAUACAAAUACAAAGAUGAGGAGCCAGGGAUAUAACUCAGUGCCACAAUACCUGCCUGGCAAGUGCAAGGUCAGGAGUUCAAUCCUUGGUACAAAAAAAAUAGAAAAAAAAAAAAUCUAGAGAAACGACGAUGAUGUUACAGCACAAUACUAAGAAACAAGAAAAUCUGACGGGUAAUCUGAAAAAGUUGGCAAGGACUUCUCUACAAAUUCUGUAAUUAUGUAUUUAGAAGUUUUUCUGAUCAACAUUUGUAUGAGUCCACUUUAUACCUGAGUUCAUGGCAAAAGCUCAUAAAUCACUGAGCAAGAUUUCCAUAAAUUUGACAUCACUAGAGCCACUAUCAUCUGUCAGUACCAAAAAUCACUCUUUUAAAAAGCAGAAACUUUAAAAUGUUAAAUAUAGUUAUUAAAGGAAAAGGCACAUUAAUAGUGAACAUUACUGUGACUGAACAACAAUAAAUAUUUUUAAGUGUUGUAAUAUCCUAGACCCAGUAGGACUCACAGGUUCAAAAACACCUGUCCUCUAUGGCUCGCCAGAAAGUUGAAGAGACCAGCACACACUCAUCAGCAAUCUGUGAGGAAGGCGAAACCUGAGCAGGCCUUGGAGAGCCCUGGCCAGCAGCUGCAGCACUGCUCUGGACAGUGGGGACCAAUACACAAGAAGCAGAGAUAAGGAGAGACAGAUAGCUGUCCUGUCCUGGGAGCACAUGGGACUGACGUGUCACACUGGAAACUUGUAUCAGCAUAAAGAGAAGGUCCACGGCUCAGAGGGAUGAGCCGGCCGAACACAGACUUGUUCAGGGGGAAACAGCUCGCAGCAAAUGUCCACAGUUCUAAGGUUGAAAAGAGUAUGAUUGGGCUCAUGAUUCGAAUACAAGAUACUAAAAUGGGACCAGGCAUAGCAGUGUACACCUGUAAUCCCAGCACUUGGGAGCCUGAGGCCAUGACUUUGAGGUCAGCCGGCACUACAAAGUGAGUUCAAAGCCCAUGUAAACUACACAGCAACAUUUUGUUUCAAAAAAGAAAAAAAAAUUGAAAUAGGACCUGAGAAAACAGGCAUUUAUGAAAUAAAAUAAAAUUGAUUAGCUUUAUAAAAAAAUAAAUAGAUCUCAAUAGGUACAGGGGUUCUCAGAGGACAGAAUGGGCUGCUAAGGGCUUGUUAAUGAGAACCAGUGGCCCGCUACCUCAACCAAGGCAUGUGGGAAGAGCUCAGUGUUCGAGCUGAAAGGAAAAGGUAAAAAGCACUGAGCAAGCAAGACUUCCCACUAUCGAACCAACAGGCACAAGGGAACACAGUGCUGCAAAGGAGACAGAAACAGGGGCAGGAGAGAAACAUAUGACCUUUAGGAAGAAGAGAAGCAUGACACAGCUGCGCUUGCAACUCAAAAGCAGAUGGGUACAACAGACACAGAUGUGUUUCUCCCAAAAAGGGAAAAUCACCACUCCCCCGACAUAGGCAAGGCUAUCUCAGAGAAAGGGACAGACAAUCCAAAGCUGCGAACUGCUGUUGCUGAGCCUGAAGGAUGUUCACAAAGGCCACAUCAAGCAACACAUCCUAAACCAGAAAUCUCAAGCAAGCUUUCUGCUUCCUCCAGCCCCCGAAUGACUUGAGAGUCACUAUUAACUCAACCUGCUUUUUAUGUCUCUACUCAACAAAAUGUAGUGAUAACAUUGCCUGAAGAAUUUCUGAAGAAAAUGAAUUCAACCUGAGAUGGACCCAAGAUUGUGAAUGACUUACAAUGUCUUCCUGGCGGAUGAAGGCAAAGUCUAAUGUUACUAAUAUUAUGAUAUAGAGACCUUGGAGUUUAUACCGGACAUAAAAUACUCUGCUGCGUUUACCACUGGGAUAUGCAAAUUCGGAGCAGCAAAGAGGGGUUUCAAAACACACCCGCUUUCUGCAGAAUCAGUGGCACAUAAGCAUUUGGACAGCAUAUGCAGAUGGCCCAAAUAAGCCUCAUCCUUUACCAUAAAGUUUUAGAUUGAUCUCUCUUUAUUCCUUUCUGUUGUAUGUUGAUUUUCCCCUAACCCCUCCAAAAAAACUAUUAACAGUAGAGAAACUCAAUAAAAUAUUCUGCAAAGCAUACUUCCCUUACUAUUCUCUUCAAUGGACUUCAAAUUGUCCUGUGGUUUGAGAUUCUUUCUUCUACAAUCACUAUCAAUUCUAAAAUAAUUUAAACUUCCAAAUGAGACAAAAAGCAUAGAGAAUAGUAAAACUCAAGCAGCUACUCCUAAAACAAAAAUCAGAACAGUCUCACUGGCU